UACGAGUGCCCCGAGCGUUAUCCGGAAUCAUUGGGCGUAAAGGGUGUGUAGGUGGUCAGAUUAGUCUUAUGUUAAAUUCUUCGGCUUAACCGGGGGCAUGCAUAGGAAACGGUCUGACUUGAGGAUGCGAGAGGUGUGUGGAACUCAUGGUGUAGGGGUGAAAUCCGUUGAUAUCAUGGGGGAACACCAAAAGCGAAGGCAGCACACUGGCGCAUUCCUGACACUGAAACACUAAAGCGUGGGUAGCGAAUGGG
rnacentral:rRNA from 1 species